rnacentral:lncRNA from 1 species
AAAUAGGCAUGUACAUACACAUUGUAAUUAAGAUUGAAGAAAUGAAAUUGAGAUUUUCUCUAUCCUUCUCUCUGUAACCGACUCAAGCUCUCAUUCUCUAACCUAGCUCCAUUUCCCCUUUUAAUAAGGUCGAAUGCAAAUAAUACAAAGUCAUGCCAAUAUCGUAGAGUUUUGUGAAGAAUUGAAUAAUCACAAAGUCAUGUCAAUUGGAUAGAGAUUAUGAUCAGUUAACAAUAUAGGUAGAGUAAAUAUCGCAUAGUAUCUACCAAUCCGGUAGUAAAAUCACCGACAAUCGAUAAGUAUACAUGAGGCCGAAGAUUAUUUUCUACAUAUAUUAAAAACGGGAUAAUAUUUAAAGACCGGUCUCUUAUAGGAUCAUCCCUGCCAAAUGUCAAUCACCCGAUAGCAGUAGCUUCAUGAAAAAGCCCACCCGUAUAGUCCAGGUUCCUAUCGCUGUCAGCCUUGAGAACAAAUAAAAGAUUCGUAAGUAGUAACGACAAAUCUGUAGGUGAAAGGAAGUUCCAUUUGACCAAAAAAAAGAAAUAUGGAAUGUUAAAAAAUAGAAAAGAAAAAAAAGACUUCUUUAAUAGUGUUAGUUCCUUAUAGUAUGUAUAACCUGUUGUAAUAUCAAAAGAUAGACCUAAAAAUGCUCAAAUAAUUUCUUGGGGAAAAUGAAAAGUAUAUUAAAAACAUGUGAAUCCUAAUGCAUAAGAAAAGCGAAAACGUGAAAAAGAAAAAGAAAAGCAAAUACCAUGAACAUGAACUACUCGACAUUCACUGUUAGAUUUGGAUUUAUUUGGCAUUUGGGCCAGGAGUCGGGUAGGUUUUUGUUAGAGGAUUUGAUCCUCCAUUGGAGGGCUCAGCAGUGUGGGUAUUCUCCAAACCAAGAACUCAGC